rnacentral:rRNA from 1 species
CCUACGGGGGGCAGCAGUGGGGAAUAUUGCACAAUGGGGGAAACCCUGAUGCAGCGACGCCGCGUGAGUGAAGAAGUAUUUCGGUAUGUAAAGCUCUAUCAGCAGGGAAGAAGAAAGACGGUACCUGACUAAGAAGCCCCUGCUAACUACGUGCCAGCAGCCGCGGUAAAACGGAGGGGGCAAGCGUUAUCCGGAUUUACUGGGUGUAAAGGGAGCGUAGACGGUGAGACAAGUCUGAAGUGAAAGCCCGGGGCUCAACCCCGGGACUGCUUUGGAAACUGCCUGACUGGAGUGCUGGAGAGGCAAGCGGAAUGCCUAGUGUAGCGGUGAAAUGCGUAGAUAUUAGGAGGAACACCAGUGGCGAAGGCGGCUCACUGGACUGUAACUGACGUUGAGGCUCGAAAGCGUGGGGAGCAAACAGGAUUAGAUACCCCAGUAGUC